CCCUUAGAUGUCCUGGGCCGCACGCGCGCUACACUGAACGGAUCAGCGCGUUUUCCCUUCCCGAGAGGGACGGGUAACCUGCUGAACCCCGUUCGAGGUAGGGAUCGGGGCUUGCAAUUAUUCCCCGUGAACCAGGAAUGCCCAGUAAGUGCAAGUCAUAAGCUUGCGUUGAUUACGUCCCUGCCCUUUGUACACACCGCCCGUCGCUACUACCGAUUGAACGUUUUAGUGAGGUACUCGGACUGAGCCUCAGAAGAUUCACGUCUUUUGUGCUGCUCGGGAAGAUUCCCAAACUUGAGCGUUUAGAGGAAGUAAAAGUCGUANCA
rnacentral:rRNA from 1 species